UACGUAUGGUGCGAACGUUGUUCGGAAUCACUGGGCAUAAAGAGCACGUAGGCGGUUAAGCAAGUCCAUUGUGAAAUCCCCCGGCCUAACCGGGGAACUGCAUUGGAUACUACUUGACUUGAGUGCAGGAGGGGAGAGUGGAAUUCCAGAUGGAGCGGUGAAAUGCGUAGAUAUCUGGAGGAACGCCGGCGGCGAAAGCGACUCUCUGGUCUGUAACUGACGCUGAGGUGCGAAAGCUAGGGGAGCAAACGGG
rnacentral:rRNA from 1 species